rnacentral:rRNA from 1 species
GAUGAACGCUAGCUACAGGCUUAACACAUGCAAGUCGAGGGGCAGCAUUAUCGAAGCUUGCUUUGAUAGAUGGCGACCGGCGCACGGGUGAGUAACGCGUAUCCAACCUUCCCCAUAGUCAGGAAUAGCCCGGCGAAAGUCGAAUUAAUGCCUGAUGUUUUCCACGGACGGCAUCUGAUGUGGAACAAAGAUUCAUCGCUAUGGGAUGGGGAUGCGUCUGAUUAGCUUGUUGGCGGGGUAACGGCCCACCAAGGCAACGAUCAGUAGGGGUUCUGAGAGGAAGGUCCCCCANAUUGGAACUGAGACACGGUCCAAACUCCUACGGGAGGCAGCAGUGAGGAAUAUUGGUCAAUGGACGAGAGUCUGAACCAGCCAAGUAGCGUGCAGGAUGACGGCCCU